CUUCAGCUUUCGACGGUACUGUAUUGGACUACCGUGGCAGUGACGGGUAACGGGGAAUUAGGGUUCGAUUCCGGAGAGGGAGCCUGAGAAACGGCUACCACAUCUAAGGAAGGCAGCAGGCGCGCAAAUUACCCAAUCCUGACUCAGGGAGGUAGUGACAAGAAAUAACAACACUGGAGAUUUUAUCUCUAGUGAUUGGAAUGAUGGGAAUUUAAACCCCUUUCAGAGUAACAAUUGGAGGGCAAGUCUGGUGCCAGCAGCCGCGGUAAUUCCAGCUCCAAUAGCGUAUAUUAAAGUUGUUGCAGUUAAAAAGCUCGUAGUUGGAUAUCUGCUGGAAGCAACCAGUCCGCCCAUAGGGUGUGCACUUGGUGAAUUCUGGCAUCCUCCUGAGGGUUGUUACCAUUAUCUUUUAUGGUAUUGGUAGCAGUUUUCAGGACCGUUACUUUGAGAAAAUUAGAGUGUUUCAAGCAGGCUUAUUGCCUUGAAUACUGCAGCAUGGAAUAACAAGAUAGGAUUUCGGUUCUAUUUUGUUGGUUUCUAGGACUGAAGUAAUGAUUAAUAGGGACAGUUGGGGGCAUUCGUAUUUAACUGUCAGAGGUGAAAUCUUU
rnacentral:rRNA from 1 species